GAUGAACGCUGACAGAAUGCUUAACACAUGCAAGUCUACUUGAAGUAACUUCGGUUAUGGAUGGUGGCGGACGGGUGAGUAACGCGUAAAUAACUUGCCCCCUAGUCUGGGACAACUGUUGGAAACGACAGCUAAUACUAGAUAUUAUGAGACCUUGGCAUCAAGGACUUAUGAAAGCUAUAUGCGCUAGGGGAGAGAUUUGCGUCCUAUUAGCUAGUUGGUGAGGUAAUGGCUCACCAAGGCGACGAUAGGUAGCCGGCCUGAGAGGGUGAACGGCCACAAGGGGGACUGAGACACGGCCCUUACUCCUACGGGAGGCAGCAGUGGGGAAUAUUGGACAAUGGACCAAAAGUCUGAUCCAGCAAUUCUGUGUGCUUGAUGAAGGCC
rnacentral:rRNA from 1 species